UGGAUCACCUCCUUUCUAAGGAUAUAUUCGGAACAUCUUCGUAGAAGAUGAAGGAAUAACAUUGACAUAUUGUAUUCAGUUUUGAAUGUUUAUAUAACAUUCAACAUAUCUUCUUUUUCAAAGAAAGCGAUUCGCAGACAAUGCGUUGAGUUACUUUAAAGCGGAGUUUACUAGAGUAAAUGAGUAUUUAAAGUAAUGAUAACAAAGCAGUAUGCAAACGCUUGACUGGAAAUAGAACUUGUACAUUGAAAACUAGAUAAGUAAGUAAAAUAGAUUUUACCAAGCAAAACCGAGUGAAUUAGAGUUUUAAAGCUUGAAUUCAUAAGAAAUAAUCGCUAGUGUUCGAAAGAACACUCACAAGAUUAAUAACGCGUUUCCUGUAGGAUGGAAACAUA
rnacentral:misc_RNA from 1 species